AGCAAUGACACCAACCUUCUUGCUUAAAAACUUACAUGGAUGAUAGUACUGUUCACUUAUUUGGGGAACAUAGAAAAAGUGCAUGAAGGGGAAAGCUGGCACCAGGAUCUCCUUUGGAAAAAAAAAAAUAUGUAUAAGGCAUUUGCCUGAAAAUUGAGGGUAUUCUGCAAGAUUCUACUAGAUCUUCAGAAGGUGAACAUUGUCAAGGCAGAUCAGUGUAGACACCCUGAACUAGAGGGGGAUCAUGUACUCCCCUAGUAAUGAUGUGGAUUAUGGCAGCUGAGUACAGAUGCAGCUUCAAAUCCUUCCCAACACAGCAUUUCAGGAGGCCCCGACGGAUCCAUCGGAGUUGACACACAAGAUAAAUUCUACUGGCCAUCCCUGAAGAUCUGCUAUCAAGUGACAUUGUGACUUCAGGCAAGCAUCUCUUCUGUGUCUCAUUUUUUUUUUUUUUAGAGA